UAGCGGCGGACGGGUGAGUAAUGCUUAGGAAUCUGCCUAUUAGUGGGGGACAACGUUUCGAAAGGAACGCUAAUACCGCAUACGCCCUACGGGGGAAAGCAGGGGCUCUUCGGACCUUGCGCUAAUAGAUGAGCCUAAGUCAGAUUAGCUAGUUGGUGGGGUAAAGGCCUACCAAGGCGACGAUCUGUAGCGGGUCUGAGAGGAUGAUCCGCCACACUGGGACUGAGACACGGCCCAGACUCCUACGGGAGGCAGCAGUGGGGAAUAUUGGACAAUGGGGGGAACCCUGAUCCAGCCAUGCCGCGUGUGUGAAGAAGGCCUUUUGGUUGUAAAGCACUUUAAGCGAGGAGGAGGCUCCUAUAGAUAAUACCUAUAGUGAGUGGACGUUACUCGCAGAAUAAGCACCGGCUAACUCUGUGCCAGCAGCCGCGGUAAUACAGAGGGUGCGAGCGUUAAUCGGAUUUACUGGGCGUAAAGCGUACGUAGGCGGCUUUUUAAGUCGGAUGUGAAAUCCCUGAGCUUAACUUAGGAAUUGCAUUCGAUACUGGGAAGCUAGAGUAUGGGAGAGGAUGGUAGAAUUCCAGGUGUAGCGGUGAAAUGCGUAGAGAUCUGGAGGAAUACCGAUGGCGAAGGCAGCCAUCUGGCCUAAUACUGACGCUGAGGUACGAAAG
rnacentral:rRNA from 1 species